UGGGGAAUAUUGCACAAUGGGCGCAAGCCUGAUGCAGCGACGCCGCGUGAGGGAUGGAGGCCUUCGGGUUGUAAACCUCUUUCGCCAGUGAAGCAGGCCAUCUUCUUUGGGGGGUGGUUGACGGUAGCUGGAUAAGAAGCGCCGGCGAACUACGUGCCAGCAGCCGCGGUAAUACGUAGGGUGCGAGCGUUGUCCGGAAUUAUUGGGCGUAAAGGGCUCGGUGGGAGCUGGUGGCGGCUGUGGUGAAAUCCCCUGGCUCAACUGGGGGCUUGCGGUGGGUACGGGCCGGCUUGAGUGCGGUAGGGGAGACUGGCAUUCCUGGUGUAGCGGUGGAAUGCGCAGAUAUCAGGAGGAACACCGGUGGCGAAGGCGGGUCUCUGGGCCGUUACUGACGCUGAGGGGCGAAAGCGUGGGGAGCGAACAGG
rnacentral:rRNA from 1 species